rnacentral:lncRNA from 1 species
GAGAAGAACCAGUUUAGGGCUAACACUGAUGUUAACCCUAAAGGAGAAUGCAAAGUUGUGAUGACAAGGAGUAAAAGAAAGACUGGAAGGGAAGUUGUAGAGAUUGGGAGCAGUGAUGAAGAGGGGGAAAGAGAGGUCAUUGAGAUAAGCAGCAGUGAAGAUGAGGAAGAAGAGGAAGCAAGGUUUAGUCACAACGGGCAAAACAGAGAAGUUUAUAACCAAGUGACUAUAGUGCCUUCAGUGAUUAAACAGGUUCCUACAAGGAUGAAAUUUUAUCUUCGAGAUAUGAUAGAUUUAGAUGAAGAUGAUGACGAGCAGGAAUUUGUGAUUCAACCUCCAA